rnacentral:rRNA from 1 species
UACGUAGGGUGCAAGCGUUGUCCGGAAUUAUUGGGCGUAAAGAGCUCGUAGGCGGUUUGUUACGUCGGCUGUGAAAACCUGGGGCUCAACUCCGGGCCUGCAGCCGAUACGGGCAGACUAGAAUUCGGUAGGGGAGACUGGAAUUCCUGGUGUAGCGGUGAAAUGCGCAGAUAUCAGGAGGAACACCGGUGGCGAAGGCGGGUCUCUGGGCCGAUAUUGACGCUGAGGAGCGAAAGCGUGGGGAGCGAACAGG